rnacentral:rRNA from 1 species
GAUGAACGCUGGCGGCGUGCCUAAUACAUGCAAGUCGAGCGAACAGAUGAGGAGCUUGCUCCUCUGACGUUAGCGGCGGACGGGUGAGUAACACGUGGAUAACCUACCUAUAAGACUGGGAUAACUUCGGGAAACCGGAGCUAAUACCGGAUAAUAUAUUGAACCGCAUGGUUCAAUAGUGAAAGACGGUUUUGCUGUCACUUAUAGAUGGAUCCGCGCCGCAUUAGCUAGUUGGUAAGGUAACGGCUUACCAAGGCAACGAUGCGUAGCCGACCUGAGAGGGUGAUCGGCCACACUGGAACGGAGACACGGUCAAGACUACUACGGGAGGCAGCAGUAGGGAAUCUUCCGCAAUGGGCGAAAGCCUGACGGAGCAACGCCGCGUGAGUGAUGAAGGUCUUCGGAUCGUAAAACUCUGUUAUUAGGGAAGAACAAAUGUGUAAGUAACUAUGCACGUCUUGACGGUACCUAAUCAGAAAGCCACGGCUAACUACGUG